UGUUAUUCUCUCCCUCCCUUCAGAGCUUCUUUGAGGGACAGUCCGCUCCGUGGGACUCUGCUAAGAAAGAUGAGAACCGCAUGAAGAACCGAUAUGGGAACAUCAUUGCAUAUGAUCACUCCCGAGUCAGACUUCAGCCCCUGGAGGGAGAGCAGAACUCUGAUUACAUUAAUGCAAAUUACGUUGAUGGCUAUCACAGGCCGAACCAUUACAUCGCUACCCAAGGUAAGAUGGGAUAC